AAGAUGGAAGAGGAAGGAAAAUGCUUGAAUUUGUGACUUCGACCAAAUGCCGUUCUCUCUCUUCUCUUCUAAUCUCGUCUCUUUCAUCUCUUUUUCUCCACCAAACAUACAAACCCUAACCGAAAUCUCUCUCUUUCUUUGUCUCUCGAAUUCACCUCCGAUGCUUUGAUCUACGAGAUGCAAUCUCUAUAGAUCUGUUUCAACUGGGUGUGAAUUUGAAAGAUUGUGCAGUUGUUUGAUCUCUUCUUUUAAGAAACAAAAUGACUUUCUUGGCGCAAACUUGAGGGAAAGCGUAUCAAGACGUAGUCCUUUAAGCUUAGGGUGAUUCCAAUUUGAUUUUAGAAGAGUGUAUUUGAUGGAUGAUGAUUGUACAGAUGGAUAAAAUGUCUGCUCCUUCAUCACGGGAGCGUGCACAACGUCUCUAUGAAAAGAACGUUGAGUUGGAGAAUAAGCGUCGGAAGUCAGCUCAGGCAAGAAUUCCGUCAGAUCCCAAUGCUUGGCAGCAGAUGCGUGAAAACUAUGAAGCUAUAAUUCUUGAGGAUCAUGGUUUUUCUGAGCAGCAUAAUAUAGAAUAUACUCUUUGGCAGUUGCAUUAUAGGCGCAUUGAGGAACUAAGAACUCAUUUUAGUGCCGCUCUUGCUAAUACUAAAUCAAAUACAUCUCAAGGAGCUCGACCUGACCGUAUCACAAAAAUAAGGCUUCAGUUUAAAACGUUUCUUUCAGAAGCAACUGGAUUCUAUCAUGAUCUAAUCCUGAAAAUCAGAGCUAAGUAUGGGCUUCCUCUGGGAUACUUCUCUGAGGAUUCAGAUAAUAGAAUUUUCUUGGAAAAAGAUGGGAAAAAAUCAGCCAACAUGAAGAAAGGUUUGAUCUCUUGUCACCGCUGUUUGAUAUACUUAGGUGACCUUGCAAGGUACAAAGGGCUAUAUGGGGAGAGUGACUCAAAGAUACGCGAGUAUGCAGCAGCUUCAAGUUACUAUUUAGAAGCUGCAUCUUUAUGGCCAUCAAGUGGGAACCCCCAUCAUCAGCUUGCUAUCUUGGCUUCCUAUUCAGGGGAUGUGUUGGUGGCAGUGUAUCGCUAUUUUAGGAGUUUGGCAGUUGAUAAUCCUUUUACAACAGCAAGAGAUAACUUGAUUGUUGCUUUUGAGAAGAACCGACAGAGUUACACUCAACUGCUUGGGGAUGCUAAAGGAUCUGUUGUCAAGGAUUCAUCUGUGUGUUCGACUAACAAGGGGAAAGGGAAAGGGGAAGAAAAACCUGCAGUUAAAGCCACAGACUUGGACGCUGAUGUUGUCAAUGAAAGGACAUCUAAUUUCUGUGAUACAUAUAAAUCAUUUUGCAUUCGUUUUAUCUACCUGAAUGGUAUUCUUUUCACACGCACCAGCCUGGAAACAUUUGUGGGAGUUCUCUCAUCAGUCAGUGGUGAAUUUUGUGAGCUUCUUUCUUCUGGGCCAGAUGAGCAGCUAAAUUUUGGUGCACAUGCUGUUGAGAAUGCUCUUUUCAUUGUACGGAUAAUCUCUGUUCUUAUAUUCACAGUACACAAUGUGAAAAGAGAAGCUUUGGGUCAGACAUACGCAGAAAUUGUACAGCGUGCUGUUCUGCUACAGAAUGCAUUUACUGCUGUUUUUGAGUUGAUGGGACAUAUAUUAGAGAGGUUUGUGCAGCUGCAUGAUCCUUCUUCAUGUUAUCUCUUACCUGGGAUUCUUGUUUUUGUAGAAUGGUUGGCCUGUUGUCCUGAUGUUGCAUCAGGCAUUGAUGCAGAUGAGAAACAGGCCACUGUUAGAUUGAAGUUCUGGAACCAUUACGUAUCCUUCUUGAACAAGAUAUCGUCAUUUUGGUCAAUGUCUCUUGAUGAUAAUGAAGAUGAUACAUGCUUUUAUAAUAUGAGCAACUAUGAAGAGGGGGAAACUGGAAAUCGACCUGCUUUAUGGGAAGAUUUUGAGGUGAGAGGAUUCUUACCUGUUCUUCCUGCGCAAACCAUCUUGGACUUCUCAAGAAAGCACACUUUUGGAAGCGAAGGCAGCAAGGAAAAGAUAGCUCGUGUUAAAAGGAUUCUAGCUGCAGGAAAGGCUUUAGCAAAUAUUGCUAGGAUUGACCAAAAAACAAUAUUUUAUGAUUCGAGGAUGAAGAAAUUUGUUAUAGGUGUGGAGCCUCAAAUUUCAGAUGAUAGCAUUUUGACUUUUGAUUAUGACCUGCCAAAAACUAAUGUUGUGAUGCAAGACAUUCAGCCUCAGAAAAUCGAUACUGUGGGAUUCAAUGCACAGCCACACGUAGAAGAGGAUGAGGAGGAUGAAGUAAUUCUUUUCAGGCCUGCAGUGAUAGAGAAGCGAAAUGACAAGCCUAGUCCACAUGGGGCCCCCUAUGAUGGCAUGAAACCAAGCCUUGUAGCUGCUGAUCUCAAAUUUUAUGGAGGACCUGUUUCAUCUCCUCUUGAUAUGCUCCAGCAAUCUGCUUUUGAUUCAGUUCCACAAAUAUAUGCAGCCACUAGUAUUAAUGCUCCUCAAAAUCUACACGCAAUUCAACCACCUGCCUCAAAGUGGGUAAUGGAAGAAGCUGAUUCACUUGCAAGGAGCUUGAAGGCUGUCAGGUUUAUGGAGAAUGGGCAUGCAAACAAACAGGAGUUGCCCAAAGAUUUGAGCAUGUCCCUUCCUGCUACACAUGCUAUUCCCAUCCAACAACCUGCAAAUGUUAAUGCUAGUAUGUUCUACAAUCAGGCAAAAGUGCCAGAAGAUGUGAUUCCAUCAAAGAUUGAUGUUGUUGCAGCUUCUGGAGUUAUUUCUGAGAGUUUGGCUGUGAAGACUUCAGCAGCUUUUCCAGCAGGCUUGAGGAAAAGUCCAGUUAGUCGACCUGUAAGGCACCUUGGACCUCCUCCAGGCUUUAGUCACGUUCCUCUUAAACAAGUGAAUGAAACUGUUUACAGUCCAGAUUUGCUGAGUGAGAAUGCACUGACUGAUGAUUAUAGUUGGUUGGAUGGCUAUCAAUUGCCAUCAUCAACAAAAGUCUCUGGGCUCACUGAUGCUACUACUUUCACUUCUCAAUCAAUGCCUCAGUGUAUCAAUAGCAGUAAUGGCUUGACCGGGACAUUUAGCUUCCCUUUUCCUGGAAAACAGGUGCCAUCAGUGCAAUUACAGAUUGAAAAACAGAAAGGCUGGCAUAACCACCAGGCCUUUGAGUAUCUAGAAGUACAGCAAGAGCAGCAGUUGCAGCAACAACUCUUAAAUGGAAAUCAGCAAUUUACUCCAAUGCCUGAGCAAUAUCAUGGAAAUUCCAUCUGGAGUGGUCGAUAUAUUGUGUGAGAUGAGUAUAAAAGCAUAAGAUGGUCCUUUUUGUCUUCAGGUUCCGAGAAUGAUUUCAGUGAAUGUACUGUGUCAUCAUGCUACCAAUUAUGAACUCCAACUUUGAAGUCUGUCAAAUUUCAAAUUUUGAAGUUUUUGUUGGAGGUUGGGUGGCUGUGGCUCAUUGCAGGGGGUUCGCUACUGAAUGAGAUUUUGCUGAGCUCUCUUCUGCCAGGGGAAGACAAAUCUUGAAACAUCUUUAUAAUGUGAAAUUCGUAAGAUGUUAAUGCCUUUGGUUACAUGGAUUGGAGAUAGAAUGCAUUAAUAAGAGCAACUGCUGGUUUUGGGCUUACAUUGGAGGAGUUGGUGGAAUGAACAUAUAGUGCACUCACCAUUUCAUUCAACUUUGAUGUUGCCCUAGCCGUCAGAAUUGCUGGUUGGCUGGUGAUGAUUUAUAGUUUCUGUGAUUGGUCCUAUGCCAGAUGAUUUUGGCAUCAGAAGUUGGACACCGGGAUUAAGUGGUAGUAUGAUAUGAUAGUAUAAAUGAGCAUAUGGAAAAUGUUAUGUGCAUGUCUUUAGAUCAAAGACUUGUGAUGUUCUACGAUGCUGAUGCUGAUGCUGUUGUGUGAUAUCAUAUGCUUUAGAGGGUAUGAGGGAAAUUACGGAAAAGGGACUGGUUUUAAUUUUUGUUAUAGUUGGGUUCGACUCCAACUUUCUGGGAAAUAAAUUCUGGGAAUAAACAGACUUCCAUGUUGAAUGUUAAUGUUCAGUGUCUUACGUUGUAA